rnacentral:tRNA from 1 species
GGAAGUGUGGCCGAGCGGUUUAAGGCACCGGUCUUGAAAACCGGCGAUAGCGCAAGUUAUCCGUGAGUUCGAAUCUCACCACUUCCGCCA